AAAAUAAAUUUCCUUUAAUUUACCCAGUCAUUGGGACACUGAUUUGCUUCAUAAUGUCUGAAGAUAGUCAAUUUUGGAGGACGCAAGGAUCUCAGAUGGAACCGUAUCGACAUAAAAGUGAAUAUAGAACCAAAUCGCGCUUUCAUUUCAAGAAAAGCACGUAAUGUACAAAUGACCCCAAGUAGCCACACUUCUUUAUGCAUUUGAGUGGAAUAUUUUUCAGAA